GGUUGUGGCUCAGUGGUAGAGCGCUUGCCUGGCAUGUGCGGGGUACUAGGUUCGAUCCUCAGCACCA
rnacentral:tRNA from 1 species